GCUAGUAAUCGCGGAUCAGCACGCCGCGGUGAAUACGUUCCCGGGCCUUGUACACACCGCCCGUCACACCAUGGGAAGUCUGCAAUGCCCGAAGCCGGUGGCCUAACCACUUAUGUGGAAGGAGCCGUCUAAGGCAGGGCAGAUGACUGGGGUGAAGUCGUAACAAGGUACC
rnacentral:rRNA from 1 species